rnacentral:rRNA from 1 species
GUUAUGUGAAUACAUAGCAUAACGAGGCGAACCGGGGGAACUGAAACAUCUAAGUACCCCGAGGAAAAGAAAUCAACCGAGAUUCCGAAAGUAGCGGCGAGCGAAAUUGGACUAGCCCUUAAGCUUUACACGCGUUAGACGAACGGUCUGGAAAGUCCGACGAUACAGGGUGAUAGUCCCGUAGUUGACGACGUGUGUUCAGUGAAAUCGAGUAGGGCGGGACACGUGAUAUCCUGUCUGAAUAUGGGGGGAC